rnacentral:misc_RNA from 1 species
AACGCACAUUGCGCCUUCUGGUAUUCCGGUAGGCAUGUCUGUCUGAGCGUCAGCAAACACCCCUCAGCUGAAUCUUUUGUUAGGUUCACGCUGGUCUUGGGCGCGGAUGUUGGAGGGUAACCUCCCACGCCAGCCCUAAACUUGCUGCACGACCGCUGGCUUCGGCUGGGUCAAUGGAGUGGUGUCACAAUCUUCCAGAAGGCCUUCUAGAGCUCGGUGGCGUUAAACCUGCUGUUACCCUUGUGGUGACCGAAGUUUUGACCUCAGAUCAGAUAAGGAUACCCGCUGAACUUAA